AGCGUCACCAUGUCACCCCAAUGACCCUAUUACAUUCCACAUAAACACAAGGCGCUGCCUAAAUGAGUUUUCAUUAAUAAAAAUAUCAUGCCCUAAAUUCGACGCUUGGGUCUUCUGUAUGACAGCCAUAUUACCUAUAGGGUAUAACCUUAUAAGUAUGUAAGACCUGACACUUAAUAAUAGAAGAUAAGAAAAUAAGAUAAAUUAAAUAUUAUUAUUAAUUACAGAUAAUUGAAGUUGUCCAUAAUACAAGGUCAGAUAUAUUUAAUAUGAGAUAUAGAAUUUGAUUGAUAUUUUCUAACCAGAAGUUCCAAAUCAAAC
rnacentral:lncRNA from 1 species